GACGAACGCUGGCGGCGCGCCUAACACAUGCAAGUCGAGCGGAGAUACUUGAAGGAAGUUUUCGGAUGGAAUUUGAGUAUUUUAGCGGCGGACGGGUGAGUAACGCGUGAGUGACCUGCCUUCCACAGGGGGAUAACGUACCGAAAGGUACACUAAUACCGCAUGAGACCACAGCACUGCCUGGUGCAGGGGUCAAAGGAGCAAUCCGGUGGAAGAUGGACUCGCGUCCGAUUAGAUAGUUGGUGGGGUAACGGCCUACCAAGUCAGCGAUCGGUAGACGAACGGAGAGGGUGAUCGGCCACAUUGGAACUGAGAGACGGUCCAAACUCCUACGGGAGGCAGCAGUGGGGAAUAUUGGGCAAUGGGGGAAACCCUGACCCAGCGACGCCGCGCGAGGGAAGAAGGUUUUCGGAUUGUAAACCUCUGUUCUUGGUGAAGAGGGAAAGACGGUAGCCAAGGAGGAAGCCCCGGCUAACUACGUGCCAGCAGCCGCGGUAA
rnacentral:rRNA from 1 species